AGCGAACGCUGGCGGCAGGCCUAACACAUGCAAGUCGAACGAACCUUUCGGGGUUAGUGGCGGACGGGUGAGUAACACGUGGGAACGUGCCUUUAGGUUCGGAAUAACUCAGGGAAACUUGUGCUAAUACCGAAUGUGCCCUUCGGGGGAAAGAUUUAUCGCCUUUAGAGCGGCCCGCGUCUGAUUAGCUAGUUGGUUGAGGUAAUGGCUCACCAAGGCGACGAUCAGUAGCUGGUCUGAGAGGAUGAUCAGCCACAUUGGGGCUGAGACACGGCCCAAACUCCUACGGGAGGCAGCAGUGGUGAAUCUUGCGCAAUGGGCGAAAGCCUGACGCAGCCAUGCCGCGUGAAUGAUGAAGGUCUUAGGAUUGUAAAAUUCUUUCACCGGGGACGAUAAUGACGGUACCCGGAGAAGAAGCCCCGGCUAACUUCGUG
rnacentral:rRNA from 1 species